rnacentral:rRNA from 1 species
GAUGAACGCUGGCGGCGUGCCUAAUACAUGCAAGUCGAGCGAACAGACGAGGAGCUUGCUCCUCUGACGUUAGCGGCGGACGGGUGAGUAACACGUGGAUAACCUACCUAUAAGACUGGGAUAACUUCGGGAAACCGGAGCUAAUACCGGAUAAUAUAUUGAACCGCAUGGUUCAAUAGUGAAAGACGGUUUUGCUGUCACUUCUAGAUGGAUCCGCGCCGCAUUAGCUGGUUGGUAAGGUAACGGCUUACCAAGGCAACGAUGCGUAGCCGACCUGAGAGGGUGAUAGGCCACACUGGAACUGAGACACGGUCCAGACUCCUACGGGAGGCAGCAGUAGGGAAUCUUACGCAAAGGGCGAAAGCAUGACGGAGCAACGCCGAGUGAGUGAUGAAGGUCUUCGGAUCGUAAAACUCUGUUAUUAGGGAAGAACAAAUGUGUAAGUAACUAUGCACGUAUUGACGGUACCUAAUCAGAAAGCCACGGCUAACUACGUG